ensembl:antisense
GACAGUAUUCUAUGGGUGCCUUGAGGCUGGAACAAGGAAUAUCUCUGUGUUCACAUUGGCCACCUCCUAUUCCAUCUCUAUACAUACCAAAGGAAAAAUCCAGUCAAGACAAAAUAGUUAAAGAUCUUUGCCUUCAAUCGGAGUAAGGACAGGUGAUGGAAGAAUGACCAGAACUGCUUAAACCAAAAGACUGAAGAGCAGACUUGCCCGCAUUUCAACGUUUGUUCCGGUUCUCCAGUUUUGUUGUGUGGACGCCCGACUCACCAGCAAGGAAGACGCCACAACAGGAUUCUUCUGCACACGCUUAUUGGAAGAGCUUGAUAGCGAAGGUAUUUUGUUCCCCAUACUAAGAAGGAGCGAAGUAUCCACACUUUUCCCAACUAGUCUAGCAGAAAGACUAGACAUGCUGGAUGCUAAGAGGUGCAAUAUUACCAGCUGCUCCAGUUUCCUGUUGCCUUGACUUCUUCCCAGCCAUGAUAGACUAGACCUGCAAACUCAAAAGAGGAAGUAGAGAUCUUAGAGACUGUAACCAGAAGAGAAUGAUGUCUUCAAGGGUUCCUUGGGGUAAACUAUAGUCAGCCAUCUAGGAUCCACGUUCCAAUGGUUCUACAGUUUUCUAAAGCAAUGCUAACAUUUAUGGACCAAGUCUUCAAACAAGAGGAAGCUUCUCUAAUGAUGGCUGAGCAAUGUGCUGAGUGAUAGGUGAUUUUAUUGGCACUUAGACAGCCUGAGGUCUACAAGCCUGUAAUUAUCCAGAAAACAGAUAAGUCAGUAUUUUCCUUAAUUAUACAAGAGAAAAAAAAGGGGGGGAAAGGGAAUUGUGGAGGGUUUUAUUUCAGGCUGAAUUUUUAUCCAAUCUAAACUGCCUAAAAUUCCAAGCCAUUGCCAGGCCUGUGGACCUAGCAGUCUGAGUUUUUCUAUGUGAUUUGUGCCUUCUACAUCAACUACCAAAUCAAAUGGAACUGGGAAUUACCGCACCCACUUUAUAAGCCAAUUUGUAUUGUAAAACAUUUGAUUACUUAAAUCUUUUUUCAUGGAAGACACGAAUAUUUUACCUUUCUGUACUGAAAAAUGCCAUUGAGCUGCUCAGCCACUGCCAUUUGCUUUUGCUGCAUUAAAAUCCUGAUUCAAUG